rnacentral:rRNA from 1 species
CCUACGGGAGGCAGCAGUGAGGAAUAUUGCGCAAUGGGCGCAAGCCUGACUCAGCAACGCCGCGUGGGCGAUGAAGGCCUUCGGGUUGUAAAGCCCUUUUCUCAGGGAAGAAAAUUGACGGUACCUGAGGAAUAAGCCUCGGCUAACUACGUGCCAGCAGCCGCGGUAAUACGUAGGAGGCGAGCGUUAUCCGGAUUUAUUGGGCGUAAAGAGGGCGCAGGCGGCCUUUUAAGUCCGGGGUGAAAUCUCCCGGCUUAACUGGGAGGGGUCCUCGGAUACUGAAGGGCUUGAGGGCAGUAGAGGGAGGCGGAAUUCCCGGUGUAGUGGUGAAAUACGUAGAUAUCGGGAGGAACACCAGUGGCGAAGGCGGCCUCCUGGAUUGUCCCUGACGCUGAGGCCCGAAAGCGUGGGGAGCGAACCGGAUUAGAUACCCGGGUAGU